UAAUACGUAGGGUGCGAGCGUUAAUCGGAAUUACUGGGCGUAAAGUGUGCGCAGGCGGCAAGGCAAGUCGAGUGUGAAAGCCCCGGGCUUAACUUGGGAAUUGCGCUCGAAACUACUUUGCUGGAGUGUGGCAGAGGAAGGUGGAAUUCCACGUGUAGCGGUGAAAUGCGUAGAGAUGUGGAGGAACACCAAUGGCGAAGGCAGCCUUCUGGGCCAACACUGACGCUCAUGCACGAAAGCGUGGGGAGCAAACAGGAUUAGAUACCCUGGUAGUC
rnacentral:rRNA from 1 species